CGGAGGGUGCAAGCGUUAUCCGGAUUCACUGGGUUUAAAGGGUGCGUAGGUGGGUAAGUAAGUCAGUGGUGAAAUCUCCGGGCUUAACCCGGAAACUGCCAUUGAUACUAUUUGUCUUGAAUACUGUGGAGGUCAGCGGAAUAUGUCAUGUAGCGGUGAAAUGCAUAGAUAUGACAUAGAACACCAAUUGCGAAGGCAGCUGGCUACACAAAUAUUGACACUGAGGCACGAAAGCGUGGGGAUCAAACAGGAUUAGAUACCCUGGUAGUCCACGCCCUAAACUAUGGAUACUCGACAUUUGCGGUAAACUGCAAGUGUCUGAGCGAAAGCAUUAAGUAUCCCACCUGGGAAGUACGAUCGCAAGAUUG
rnacentral:rRNA from 1 species